UAAAAUACAACUUGUUUGAAUGAUGGCAUAGUUUCAUAUGUUCAUAUGUAUGAUCAAAGGUUACUCAUUUGACCCAAUGACAGCAAAAGUAUACCCACAACUGUGCUCCAAUGGGGGAAAUAUGAUUAUUAAGUUGUAUUAAUGCUAGGGAAACAGAGCCGUUCCCUUCAAGAGCUUACAGCAAAAGAAGCAAAUAUCGGCAGACCCAUCAAGAAGAGUCUGAUGCUACAAAAGUACAGAAGCUCUGAAUGCCAGCCAUUAAAUUGAAAAAUUGAAAUU
rnacentral:lncRNA from 1 species